GGCAGUGUCGGGGUCACUGCACUGCACUGGCCACGGGCCCCAGAGCUCCUCUGGGAGCAUUGGCCUGUAAGUAGGACAGAUGGGUCCCUGGCCCAGAGAGAGGCUACACAGCAACCUCCCCCACCCCACGUGCGGGGCCCGUGGGCCUCACGGCCCUCUCAGCUGUGAAAGCCUGGCUCUGUUCCCCUCCUCCCACUCCAUCUCUUCAUUCCCCCCCAGAAGAGGGCACAAGGCCAAAGCUGGUCUCAGUAUGUCCCCCUGCCUUGGCCUGGAGACCCAGGGGGGCAGGGUGGGGCUUGGUUACUCUCUCUCUCUCUCUCCUCCCUCCCUUUCUCUUUCUCACCCCACUUCUCCCUUUCUCCCUCUCUCUCUCUCCCUCUCCCUCUCUCUCUCUCCCCCCUCCCUUUCUCUCUCUUCCUCCUUUCUCCUCUUUCUCUUUCUCACACCCCCUCUCCCUUUUUCCCUCUCCUCUCUCUCUCUUUCUCUCCCUCCUUUCUCUCUCUCCCCAUCUCUUUCUUUCUCCCUCCCUUUCUCUCUGUCUGUUCCCCUCUCUGUAUCUCUGUCUCUUGUUCCCCCUUCUCUCUGCCUCUUUGUCUCUCCCCCCCAUCAUGUCUCUCUCUGUCUCUGUCUCUUCCUUCGCCAUCUCUCCUCUCUGGCUCGGGUUCUGUCUCCUUCUCCCAUUUCUCCAGCAUUAGAUCCCUUUUCCCUGUGGUUCCCUGAGACCCAGGCUCUCCUUUCCUCCCAGCUCCAGGAUUUGAAAAGAAUUCAAAUCCCUUUCUUGGCCCACCACUAACUCUCUAAUGUCCCCAGGGCAGAGAAUGGGAACAGCUCACACUUGCCCUGGGCUUUUACAAUGAACUUUCACAAGAACCUUGAGAGUGGGCUGGGGAUGUUUCAGGAGGCCACAUUCCAGACACUUAUUAGUUGUAUGACCCUAGGCAAGUCACUUCACCCUGUUGGCCUCAGUUUCCUCAUCUGUAAAAUGAGCUGGAGAGGGAAAUGGCUAACCACUCCAGUGUCUCUGCCAAGAAAACCCCAAAU
rnacentral:lncRNA from 1 species